AUGCCGCCGACCGAGGUGCGAGUGGCCAACGGCGACAAGCUCACCUACAACCGCAUCGUGCCCGGCCUCAAAUGGUGGAUGCAGGGCCACACCUUCGAGACGCCCAUGCGCGAGCUGGAGAUCGGCGCAUACGACGGCAUUUUGGGCAUGGACUGGCUCGCCCAGCACAUCCCAAUUACAUGCCACUGGCAAGACAAGUGGGUGCAAUUUCUGCACGACGGCGAAGAGGUCCGCGGUGUGCCAACCAAACCGGCCACCAUGCUCAAGGCAGUCGGUCCCGAGGAGCUGCGCAAGAUGAUCGCCGGCAACGACGUCUGGGCCAUGGCCAUGGUGGACACCUGUGGCCCUGCAACGCGCCAGGUUCGCAAAGGCCCAAGUCAAACACCUCUGGCAGAUCUGCUCGAGGAAUUCGCCGACGUGUUUGCGGCACCGCAAGGGCUCCCUCCCCAUCGCCAGUACGACCACGCCGUCACACUGGUGGAGGGCGCGGUCCCCGCGAACACGCGCUCGUACCGCUACUCGCCGCUUCAGAAGGACGAGAUCGAGCGUCAAGUCAAGGAGAUGCUGGACUCCGGCGUGAUCACGCACAGCGUCAGCCCCUACGCCGCGCCAGUGCUACUCGUGAAGAAGAAGGACGGCACCUGGCGAUUCUGCGUCGACUACAGUCGCCUCAAUGACGCCACUGUGAAGAACAAAUUUCCCCUACCCAUCAUCGACGAGCUGCUCGACGAGUUGGCCGGCGCUGCAGUGUUUUCCAAACUGGACUUGUGGGCCGGCUACCAUCAAAUCAGGAUGCAGGAAGAAGACGAGUCCAAGACGGCGUUCAAGACACAUCAUGGGCAUUUCCAGUUCAGGGUCAUGCCGUUCGACCUCACGAACGCACCCGCCACCUUUCAGUGUCUGAUGAACGCCAUCUUCGGUAAGUAUGUCCGCAAGUUCGUUAUCAUAUUCUUGGAUGACAUCUUGGUCUUCAGCGAGACGAUGGAGGAGCACCUGGAGCACCUGCGCAUCGUCUUCGAGCUGCUCCGCGCGCACCAGCUGUACGUCAAAGAAUCCAAGUGCACGUUCGCCUGCGACCACAUCGACUACCUCGGCCAUGUGAUCUCCAAAGAGGGCGUGGCCAUGGACAAGGAGAAGACGCAGGCCAUGGAGCAGUGGCCAACACCGACGAAUGCCACGGAGCUG
rnacentral:rRNA from 1 species